ACUCCUGAUGCGGUUGACCCCGCCGCUGCUGGGGGUGGACAGCUGCUGAAGCUCCAGCUUCCUGCGGGGCUUGGCCUUCUGCAGGUAACACCCAUCGCUGUCCUCAUACCGGCCGCUGCUGCCGGUGCUUGGUUUCCUGUCUGGAUGGGCAAGUGACAUGGCUUAUUGUUGGAGAUGGGUCACGCGGGGCAGACGCCCCCUCCAUCGAGGGGAUCAAACCAAACUGGAACUGAAGCAGGGGGCAGGUAUCCUUGGAUCCUCAGGGGAAAGGUCCCUGCUUGCUUUGUAAGCUUCCAGAAUGCUUUUACUGGGAAACCUGGAUAAUGAGCAAAAAUCAACCAAAACCAAAGAAGCCCUGGAGACAUAUAAGUUGCCGUAAAAGAGCUGAAUGAAGGGGUGGAAUGAGAAGGGCAAAAAGUUAUAUCGACAAAGGUGUCGGGGAACCAAGCUCUUGUGAUAUUUUGGCAUAAACCAUACAGCAAAGAGGUAGUUACCCCUAGCAGACUUCUUUUGGAGAGCAUCAAACUUUAUUCCUUGGUAAAGUUCCAGAGAGAUCAAUCCAUAUGCCACCAUCAUCACGAUCCCGGGAAUAAGAAAAAGAAUGAGUAACAGGAACGUGUGCCUAAUAAAAUAAGAAGAAAUUCAAUAACCAUCAACUCUAGUAUUUCAAACUCAGGAUGGAAAAGAUAGGAUUCAUCUCCAUUUCAACUGGUCUGGAUAAAGUCUAUUAUGAAGGACUAGUUAAGUUGGAAAAGGCUGGUGUGUUCUGUGCCUGAAACAAGCCUUCAUGUGAAACCAAUGAGAACUUAAGAACAGCAAAGGCAUGUGAAUAAUCUCAAUAAAGCUGUUACCAA